GGCUCAUGAAAACACUCGUCAGAACUGUUUUCGACUCCAAAGAUGCCUUCAGCAACUCCAGUGCCUCUUCCACUCCGAAACUUACAACUUCCUCCUCUAGUACACCAACAUCCCUGACAUUAAACUUGUUGAGAAGAGCAAUGCAAGAGAUGGUGGACAUGGGCUUGACUACCAAGUCAUCUGCCACCAUGUAUGUCACAACAUCCUUCACAAAACCCCCUUUUCCUUUUGCUUCCACAGCUCCACCUGCUACUCGCGGAGCAGCAUAAACUAACUUAUCUGACAUAGUAUGAUUACAGAUUGUACAGAGAGCAGUAGGGUCAUCAGAAACAGUUAAGUGGGAACUAGAGUAGGAACAGCCGUAAAAAGUCUUCUCACGUGUCGUAACAUGGCCAUCAAGCAAUAGAAAAGGAACUGGAGAGAUCCCAACUGAAGACUUGGGUUUUAAAAGGAUAUCCUUGCAUUGGUUCGAUUGAAUAUAGGUGUCCUUCAGAUUUUCUACACUUUCGUAGAGGUUAGGCAAGGAACCACUCAUUCCUUUCUCCUUAAGAAGACUGAUAACGGUUCCAGCAGGCAAUGAGAGAAUGUGAAAGAGGAAAUCAACACAGUCCUUAUCAGCCUCGGCAAAUAGGACUUUGCCAGCCUUGGUGUCAAUCAAAAGCUUCAUGCUCAAUUUAGUAUCACAAGUAGUCGCCAUUUUGGCUCUGAAUGUUGAGGAUCUGCAAAGUAAAGGUGAAAUAUUGGAGAGAGAAACCCUACGAUCUUGAGAGAGAAAAUGACGAUUCG
rnacentral:misc_RNA from 1 species